UUGACGGGGCCCGCACAAGCGGUGGAGUAUGUGGUUAAUUCGAUGCAACGCGAAGAACCUUACCUGGUCUUGACAUCCCGGAGACCCUUAGGAAACUAGGGGGUGCUUCCAUCUGGAAGAAUCUGGAGACAGGUGCUGCAUGGCUGUCGUCAGCUCGUGUCGUGAGAUGUUGGGUUAAGUCCCGCAACGAGCGCAACCCUUGCCUUUAGUUGCCAGCAGUUCGGCUGGGCACUCUAAAGGGACUGCCGGUGUUAAACCGGAGGAAGGUGGGGAUGACGUCAAGUCCUCAUGGCCUUUAUGACCAGGGCUACACACGUACUACAAUGGCCGAUACAAAGGGCAGCGACACUGCGAGGUGAAGCCAAUCCCGUAAAAUCGGUCUCAGUCCGGAUUGGAGUCUGCAACUCGACUCCAUGAAGUUGGAAUCGCUAGUAAUCGUGGAUCAGCAUGCCACGGUGAAUACGUUCCCGGGCCUU
rnacentral:rRNA from 1 species